GCAUCAGGAGCUUGAAGCAUCUAGUCUCCUUACAUCCUAUCAGAAGAGGAAUGAACGCAUGGCUGCUUCCUAGUUCCUGUUCUCCAGAUUUCAGGUCUAUGGGAGCACGCUGCAGGGUACAAUGUAGCCGCACUACACCAUGGGCUAGUGAGAGCUGAGAGGAGCGACCGUGGCGGAGGAAGGGCACAAAGAAAGCAGCUCAAGACCAAGAUGAAGAGAUAGAGGAUCUGAUAAAACCUGCUCCAAGGUGCCAGCGUGGGAAAGGUCUGAGCAUCAAGAGACAAGGACCCAUGGAUGAAAUGAGGUGUCUGCCUUGGUGGUGAGAUGACGUGGCUGUCUUGGGAUCCAGAUCUCCUUUUCAUGUAGUUAUCUACAUGUUGGUAAGGCUGGAGCUGAGGACAGGUGGGUGGAGGAGAACGUUUGGCUGCCACGGUAACACGUUCUGCUAUGUACAGAGCUCUUCGGAGAACUGGGCCUCUAGUACAGUCACUUUGAUUUUCUCCAUCUGAUAUAUAAAAAGAUGGGGGCUCCUGGGACUCCAACUCUUGCAGACUGACCUUAACUAGACAGUAAGUACAAGCUAGAAGCCCGGCUCUGCCAGGCCACACGCAACAAAGCCUUCUGUCUAUCAUUCACUGCCCCCUGGUGGAACACACGGGAAACAACAACAUCCGGAACAACCGCCUGGACAAUGAUCUCUUUUUCCUACAGGGGCGGAGGCAAAGAUGCUCUAUGUGGUCAGGUGGAAGGCUGCAAUGCCAUGCAGUGAGAGGGAAGAAGACAGAACUGAGGGCUGGAGAAAAGUGUAGCUGAGCUGAAGAUGCAGGAUGAAGAGAGAUGUUGGGAGCUGAGAUUUAGAACCAAAUGGAGACAGACAUACCAGGCAGGUGAAGGGCUGAGGACUAGCUAAAGGGAACAGCCCAAUGUCAUCUAGACAAAUUGAGGAAGUUGAGUCACUGUCCUGUGGCAGGUUCUAAUAACCCUCUAGCGCUGUUUACAAUGGUAGGGUGAGCUCCAUUUUAAGAAAGUCUGGAUGGAACAAAGUGAGUCCCUAAUAGAUUGGCCUCAGAAGAAUCCAAUGACUCAAAGAGGUUCCUGGGUAAAUGAAAUGGAAAAGUGAGUCAUUUCACACGGAAGCAGGCAGCCUGACAGGCUUCUCCCCUUGCUCAUAGGUAACCCCCACAUUCCUGCCACAGUCAUCUAUGACGACAGCCCAGGCAGGCCUUGAACUUGCAGACUUCCUGCUUUGGCUUCCCAAAUAGCUGAGAUUACUGGUUUGUGUCAGCAGGGGUGACUCUCCCUGGCAAAAUUAGCACCAUUUAACUGUGUGAUUCUGUUUUCCAUGAAGCCUAGCUCAUCUUCUGUCACUGUCCAGUUUACACUAUAGCCCGCCCCCACCUCCGGCAAUAUGAGCUCUAAGCUGGACCUGAGGCCUCCCUGCUUUUUCGGGUGCUGCUUCACAUUCAAUUGUUGUUGAUUUCAUGUCUUAUUUUAUGCUGCUCUGCCUCUGCAAAUGCUGUUGAGGCUUCCUGACAUACCCUUCCUCUACCUCUUUAGAUGCCCGGCCCGGUCCUUUUCACCCUCUGAAGCUUCAUCUACCCCGUACAGAUCUUCUCUAUAGUACUGCUUCUCAACCAUUUUCUCAUUACCGUGCCUGGCUCCCACUCCAGGAUCCCUUUAAGACAGCUUUCCUUAAUCACCUCCUCCUGCCAUGAAAUUUUAAUAUGGUAGAU